rnacentral:rRNA from 1 species
UACGUAGGGUGCAAGCGUUAAUCGGAAUUACUGGGCGUAAAGCGUGCGCAGGCGGUUUUUGUAAGUCAGAUGUGAAAUCCCCCGGGCUUAACCUGGGAACUGCGUUUGAAAACUACAAGGCUAGAGUGUGGCAGAGGGGGGUGGAAUUCCACGUGUAGCAGUGAAAUGCGUAGAGAUGUGGAGGAACACCGAUGGCGAAGGCAGCCCCCCUGGGUUAACACUGACGCUCAGGCACGAAAGCGUGGGGAGCAAACAGG